AGCUUUUUCUUAACAACAUCUAUCGCUAUCAUGAAUUACCUAAAGAUAUUAUAUCAGAUAAAGGGGCUUAAUUUAUAUCAUGAUUUUAGAAAAUUCUUUUUAAAAUUUUAAAGGUUGAUAUAAAGUUCUAUUUUGCUUUUCAUCCUAAAACAGAUGGAUAAAUAAAAUGGGUGAAUCAAAUUUAGGAGUAGUACUUGAAAUAUACCAUUAACUAUCAUCAAGAUGAUUGGAUAUCUCUUUUAAUAUUAAUAGAAUUUACAUACAAUAAUUCAAUAUAUUCUUCUAUUCAACAAAUAGCUUUCUUUGCCAAUUAUGGCUAUCAUCUACAACUUGAUACUUUUGACUUUUCAAAAGUUGAUAAUCCUGCAAUGAAAGAUUUGGCAAAUUUUUGUCAAAGCAUGUAACAAUGUAAUAAUGUAACAAUGUAAUAAUGUAGGUACAAUUAAAAAGAGCUCAAAACAACAAAAAAUUAAUGUAAAUUUAUAUUCCAACGAACAACCACAAUUCAACCUAGAUGAUAAGGAGAGACUCCCAAUGUUUGGUGAUUUUAUGAGAGGUAGGAACAAUUCUUGACAGUGUUCAAAAUAUUUUAUUUGAAAGAAGUAACAUGAUUGUCUUCUUCUCUUAGUAUGGAACACUAUCGAUGGCUAAAAAGACCUAUCAACUAUUUUCAAAGAAAACAAAGAGUAGAGUAUGUAGCAAAUAUAAUUUUCUGCAUCUUAAAUUUCAUCAACAUAUGAUAAUCACUCUUCGUAGAACUCAUUCCUAGAAAGGAAGAUAAUAUCACGGAUAUAUAUACGUACUCUAAUAAAUACCUAUAUGAUUAAAUAUAAAUAAAUAGAAAUAAAUAAAAAUAUAUUAAUUUCAUAAUAUCUUCUAGAAAAGUUUCUUAGAAGCUUUAUAGAAGCUGCUUUGACCUUACAUAUGUUUGUAAUUAAUUAAUAGCUUAGAAACUUGAUCAACAAAUUAACAAUGUGCUGUUAGCUUGUAAAAUAAAUUAACUAUAUGGUGUACAUAUAAAAAACUUGCCUUGCAAGUUAAGAUACGUGUCUUACAAAGUCUUCACAUUUUGGAGGUUUUAUAUGACAUCGCCACGUAGUUCCUAGUUAAGAGUAUAUAUGGAGGCAAGAGUGAAGCCUUCUUCACUCUUGUCAAUAUCUUUUUAGUCCUUAAUCUUGUUUCAAGACUUUCUAGUCUUCUUGUUUUUGGCAAUAGCCAUUCUAGUUCAAUAUUAUAUCAUCUUUGAAUGACUUUUUAAUUCUUUUUAGUGACACAAAGAGUAUAUUGAGGAUUUUCGUUCUUCAAGAUUCAUGUCCUUAACAAUCACAUGCAAUAGCUUAAGAAAUAAGUUUUUCCAAUGAAUCUACCUUCAACAAUUUUAAGAUUAAAUUUCUGACAAUAUAUUUCAAUCCAUAUUGAAAUUAAUUGAUGAAGGCUUUGUCAUUGUAAUCCACAUUGUAAGCAAGAUUUUGAAAUUUAGUAACAUUUAUGGUGGUUGAAUGUGAUCCUUGUCGUAGAGAUAUAAACUUGAUUUUUGCUACCCUUUCUUAAUCACUUUCUCCAAAUGUAGCCAUAAAUACUUCUAAGAAUGAAUUCUAAUCAUAGAAUAGUCUUGAAUCUUUUUCCAUCAAAGGUACAAAUCAAGAAAGAGUACUCCAAAAGAGAAGUAUUCUUAUGAAUUCCUCUUGAAUAAAUCCAUAAGGGUAUUAAGGCAUCAAAACCUACAAAAACACACCUCUUAUUAAAACAUCUUGUUGCCAUGUUGAAGAUUCUUAAAACUUAGGAUUCAAAAACAACCAAUAAAUUUCUUAAUAAUAUUUUAGUAAUUUGGUUUCCAUCUCUUUUAUAAAACCAUCAUAUUAUUUUAUUAUUUUACACAUAUUAUGUUCAUCAUAUUUGAAGCAUUAUGUGAAUGUUUUUUCCUAGUAUAUUUUCAAUUUACUAUAGAAAGCCAUUUCAAUUUUUAUUUUUAUUUUUUUAAAAGACCCCAAUAAGAAGAGUAAACGGAUGAGAGCAGACAUUCAUCCGUCUUCAUUAACGUGAUGAGCAUGAGGACAAUUCACACACACCUACUGAUGGAUGCACAUGACCAACGACUGGAUGAACCCUCACGUUCGUUCCCAACUCCUUGACAACGAAUGAAAAGAAGAAACUGCACAUUCAUCCAUGUAGCCACUCAUCCCAAUAGAAAAAUACGGUGGGUUGAUUUCACACGAGGCUUAGACGGACCAGGCAGAGGAAAGCAGCUUCAAAGCAACGUUUCAUAAAGAACGGGGAACUCCAUGGGGAACGAUAGAACCUUCGUUUGUGCGGGAAUAUCAUCCAUCCAUUUCCUGGUGCCGGUUUUCAUUCAUCUUGGGCGGUGGAGCUGCAGUUCACUGGAGAGCACUAGCUCUGUCAGUGCCGCGAGCGACGCGUCUCAGCCCAGGAUGUUACGUGGGUGAUAUUUAUCUAGCGACUACGGGAUACCGAUAAUUCGACGGCACCGGCGUCGAAUUGACUCGGUCAAAAGUGGAAAGCAUACAGCCUCUUGAUUAGGUCGACAGCCUUUACAAAUCCUUUGCUUUUUCAAGUCAUUAUAACAAAUUUGGCAUCGUUUCGAAUGCGGUGGAUGGUGAGACGAUUGUCGAGGAAAAUAAGCUGCAAUCUGUGAUGAUGAUGAUUCCUGAGUGGACUUGAUGCAUGGGGUGCUGAUUUUUCUACCCAUUUGUUACAGAAAAAAACUGCUGGUGCAGCGGCGUUUCCACAUUCAUUUUUCAGUGGGGUAUGAGCACAGUCACUCGUAUGCCGCGUCUUCGCGUUCACAAGUCCGCAGUUACCACCGGAUGGGCACGCCCUUUAAUGAUAUCUGUUUGUGCUUAUCCGCAGUCAGAUGGUAUAAAAUACAUGACAAAUAUAGAAUGUACUGUAUUUUGAGGUGUUUAUUGUACAGGUACGGCGCACCGACCGUGUAUUCUUCAGGCGAUGGUUAUCACUCCCGCGACCGUACUCAUUGCCACCGAUCGGGCUAUAGCCAAUGUAACUCAAGAUGGGAAUCAAGAUCAUUGUGGAAGAGAUUCACCCGUGAUGCAGGACUACUCUUUAGACCCCAGUACCGAGUGUCGAUCAUGGACUGGCUGAGAAACAGUUUCUAAAUAAAUAAUUGCUGAUUGUCGAUUGCCACUUGGCAGCCUGAACCUAAUCUGCCACGCACCCAGUGUCGACACAUCACACCCCUCUCUCACGUAUAAGUACACCCUCCGCAUUCAAGUUUGCAUGAUCAAUUUUCAAGACACGCUCAUUUGUUUCAUUGCAAUCGUCGUUAAGUCAAGUAUUCAGUUUUUCUUCUAGAGACAUUUUUGUUUGUGUAGACAGCCAUGGACAAGAUCAAGGACAUGUUGCACGGUCACAAGAAGGACGACGAGCACGCUCAUGCCACCCCAGCCACCGCCACCACCACCAACGUCGGUACCGCUGAAGCUGGCUACUCCGAUCCCGCUACAACCCAUCACGAGGAGGGAAAAGAGAAGAAGGGCUUCCUCGGACUUGGUGGCCACAAGAAGGUACUGUCACUUCACAUCUCGUUCAUUAUGUAUUCCACUUUUGCAAUAGUGGACGGUUCCGACAUGGAUUACUCGUUGUCUAUCAUGUGCACGCCCACGUUUAUGUUGUUUUUCAAUGGUUUGAAUAGUGAUGCAAUGUCGAGGAUCCCGUGAUUCUAACUCGAGUUACAAUGGGUCGUGUUAACAGGAAGGCGAGGAAGGAAAGAAGCAUGGGUUCAUGGGUAUGGGAGGCGGCUCCAGCUCCAGCUCUUCCUCUGAUGAGGAACGCGAAGGUGCGGCAGAGCGAAACCGGCUCCGCCGUGAGAAGCGUGCGCAGCGUACUGCGGGCAAAACAGCUGCCGGCACCGUACCUGUAGAAGGCACUGGCGAGAAGAAGCACGGCUUCUUUGGCUAAGCGCCGAUUGUGUAUAACUCACGACCUUAACAUCCUUCUGAGGAGCGUGCGAUCCAGAUCGAAGGAGGCAGUCACAGUUACGAACUUUAUAUGAAAAAGCUUCCGGAUCCUAUGUGUAGUAAUAAUUCUCUGUGUACACUGUCGAUUAUGUGGUUUAUAUA
rnacentral:lncRNA from 1 species